rnacentral:lncRNA from 1 species
UAUUUAGAGAUAUUAAAGGAUAUAUUUUCAAAUCAAUUUAAAAGUUAACACAAUUAAUACAAUACUUCAAACCAUCCCAGAACCUAGAGUCACAAGUGCAUGAGCAUCUACUGACAAGAGAAAUAAUAUACAACAUUCAUUCGGAAUACAAUGGACGAAAAUUAAAUACAGUACAAAGGAAGGGACUACUCUAGCUGCGGCCGUCUCGAAUGAUGCAACUCACCUAGUCCCAGAAUCAUCCGAGUUGCUAUGCCUAGGAAACCGAUGAGUCACAUAUACUUGUGCAACAAAAUGCACACCAAGUGUACUAUGAGUACAAAAGCAACGUGUACCCAAUGAGUGUCCCGCAUAAUCCCGAAGGGGUAGAGACAAGAUGGUCAACUUUGACACUCACUAGUAGUCCAAUGAUUAUUUAUCCUUAAUAAAUAUAUUAAACAAUGGAUUUAAUGUAUAAACAUGAUUAAUCCAGAUAGAGUAAGCAAGUAAACAUAUAAUUCUUUCAUGGAAAAUUUCCUUAGAUUUCUUGUUAUUAUUAACAAUAUGAUCUCAAGCCAUAGUGAGGCAUAAAAUAACUCAAAUGAGUCCAGACAGCAAUACAAGCAUGCACAAAUCAUACUGAGGUUGACGAUCCGCUCCAACAGAAAUAAAUGUACACUUGCCAAGGGUCGACGACGCGCCUAUAGAUGCAUCUAUUAAUCUGCCGAGGCGUUCGGCCCGUUCCAAAAUAAACACACANNNNNNNNNNNNNNNNNNNNNNNNNNNNNNNNNNNNNNNNNNNNNNNNNNNNNNNNNNNNNNNNNNNNNNNNNNNNNNNNNNNNNNNNNNNNNNNNNNNNNNNNNNNNNNNNNNNNNNNNNNNNNNNNNNNNNNNNNNNNNNNNNNNNNNNNNNNNNNNNNNNNNNNNNNNNNNNNNNNNNNNNNNNNNNNNNNNNNNNNNNNNNNNNNNNNNNNNNNNNNNNNNNNNNNNNNNNNNNNNNNNNNNNNNNNNAUCCUAGACUACCCGAACAAUAGCAUAAUAGUAGCUACGCACGAACUCUCGUCACCUCGUGCCUAUGUAGCCCCCACAACUAGGAGCAUAUAAUCAAUUUAACUCACAUAUGGGGUAUAUUCCCCCUUACAAGAUUCGAAAGUGCACCAACUAGUUAAAUUAAACAAGAACUAGUCAAUAAGUACUCAUAAAGUUGAAUUCUAAAUAAUUCAAGUGUUUUCCCAACUUUUUUCGCAAGUUCCUAAAUUUCGGACCCGGGCCCACGUGCUGGAUUCCGGCCCCGGGCCCACGUGAUGGCUUGAAAAUAUAUCCUUUAAUUCAGUAACCCGAACUCGACAUCACAUAGUUGUGGCAUGCAACCUGAUCCGAAUAAUCAUAGCACUCAAUAAAGGAGAUGCACAUCGAGCUAGAUUUCUCGUUAUCACAGAAUACUGAAUAUCUUUCAUAGACAUGCUAAGGUGUAUAAUACCAUCCCUAAUGACACAUAUAGCGCUAUAGGCUAUAAAACUUAAGCACAAUAGAGGUGUGAUACAAGAUCUGAAUCUCAAGAGCCAUCAUGCGCACAUAACAUCAUCAUCACGCGGAACCUCAACACAUGAGAAUUUACCAAACCAUCUCGCAACUCAUACGGUACAAUAAACCAUUACCCGGAAUAGCUAAUGAUAAGAUAACACCCCGACUGUUCCUCCAUAGGGAACGCUCGCUGAAACAAACACAACUGGCCUGAUAUAAAGCCUCGUUCACAUAUAAAUCAAUCCUCUGAUCGCAAGACGAUUUAUGAUUGCACCAACUUGGAUAAUAACCUUUCGAAUGUUCACAUAUAUAUCAAUCCAUUGAUCUCAAGAUGACUUCUGAUUGCACCAACUUGGCUGCUAACAUUUCAAAGGUCCGUAGUGACUCAUUCCUCCUCAUAACACAUAAGGAAAACCAUCAUAAUCGGAGCAACCUCCUCCGUUCAUAACCCAAUAAAUAAAGUGCCCUCCAGGCAAAAUUCUCGAAUAUAUGAUAUUACCACAAUCCUCAUACUUGGUUCAAAUCUUUAGUCAAUCAAGUGACUACAUGCCACACUUAUACAAUCUUCCCGUGGGUCACGCUGCCACAACCUUCCAAAAUACAUAACGGGUCCACACAUCUAACCCACCAUACACACUGACGCUGAAAAGCGAUCAAGAAUCCUCAACCAGGAUGCAAAGCCUCUUUCGCAACACAUCGAAAUCAGGUGACACUGAAGACAAUACCAAUUUACUCUAAUCAUUCAACCUUUUCCUUGCUCAUCCGAGCCCGUGACAUCCUUGUCAUCACCAAACUGCAACCUUGACAUUCACUCCAAAUUUCCAUGCUACUCACUGCACCCAACGUGCAAAUAUAUGAUAUAACACGAUUUUUUAUCAUAACGCGAAAUCAUUAAUAUUUUAACACUUCAUCAUAUAAGAACUUUGCACUUAACUCACUCCAGGAGAAUCCUAGCAACACACAGUCAAAUCCCCAUAACCGUAGGAUAUACAAAUCUCUAAGUAGUGGUCCAAGCCACCAUAUUCUUUUCGGAAUUCGCUUCCACUUCACAAGCCAUAAUAGAAGAAUGCUUCUGAAUAGUAUCAAUUACGGCGGCCGACAAACCUCACACGUACCACCACAAAUCAUACGCAUAUCCGCCUCUACUUAACAUGCCAUAAAAUAAGAAUGCUUCCGAAUAACAUCAAUUAUGGCGGCCGACAAGCCUCACACAUGCCGCCAUAAAUCAUACACAUAACCUGAUCACACGGACCGAACUGAUCGCUGGCCCUAAUGUUCCAAUUCAAUUAUGUCUAAUCAAUUUAGCUUCUUCCAAUUCAUCCUUGCUUGCCUUUAGAAAUAAGACUAACUCCAUUCAACACAUAACAUACUCCAUCUACACUCGCCCUGAGUGACCUUGGAUCACGAGACCAGGUUGUCUCAAUUCUCACAAAUUAUUUCAUAUUACUCAAAUGUUACACCACAAGUCAAAAUACCAUAGAACAUUUUGGGCACAUUCUAUAAGCUACUACAGAGCUUGAUUCUUAACUGCACUCAUAGGCUCGAAAUCAUUGAGCACCAAACUUUAACUUCUGAAUUCACUAGGACCAUUAUUGAGAGACACCCGUUCCGGCUAGGUCUCAGACAUAAUCCACUCUAUAAAUAUUUAUAACACACGAAUACCCUCCAAACGCAGCACUCGGAAAAAUCACUUCCUCUGAAACCUGCAUCUGUACGAGGCAUAAAUUCUGGAUUCUUUUUCCAAGUUCGAACAUGAGCCAAUAAGGCCAACCAUCACAUGCCUCCAACAAUUCAUCUGCUCGAAUUACCACUUAUGGUCUUUUCUCAUAGCUGAAAUAAUCCAUCAAUCUACUCAUAUCCAGAAAUCUCGCAAAUAGUUAAUCAUACAGCCCAAUUAUAAGCGGUGGGACUUUCCCACUUAGCUUGAAGCCAUCAUUUCACAAUUCUAGAGUUCGCCCAACCUUUUUACCUCUUAUUGACAUAACGUCGCGCCAUAAGAUAUCAAAAUUUCUCGGAAUCUUCCUGUAAAUCCCCAUCUUACAUAUUCUUAAUUAUUAACCACAUUCGCACGGCCGAUCUCCUUGUUGAACAACCAAUACAAUUCCUCAGAAACUUCGCCAACCACAUGACCGCUAACGUACUCAUGGGAAAUAACCCACCUAGGGGAAUAACCUCCCGAUAUCUUCCCACGCUGCUGCACGGGGUACAUUCACCAUGACACCAAUAGCCCCAUCCUGAGUCCAAGCUCACUUUUUAGCUGCACAAGUCCAUUCGGCUCCCGCGAACAUCCAUUAAAUGUGCGGUAACAUCCUUCAAAUUUCAAGGUUAUGCUACACCCUCCUCCAUUCAAGCAGCUUCUUUCCGCAAUAUCAAUUUUCUGCCGCAUAAUAGCCCAUAAUUCACAUCAUACCCAUAGGCUUCAAUCACCAAUCGUUAGAAUCCCCAAUUCGAUCCAAACUCUCCUUAAGACACGUAGUCUUCCUACUGCCAAGCCCAUAUGCAACUCUCACCACUCUCCCACUUUGGCGGAACUCAUCUCCUUAAUCGGUCACUCGACCUUGAUUCUCAUACUUGGCCUUCUAGAAAUUUGAAACAUCACCUUACACUUCCCACAUGUCCUUCCUCAUACUUUACUGCUUAAUUGUUGCCUCAUAUAAAAUCUCUCUUCGUGGCACUUGAACCUAAAAUAAAUGCUAACUUCAGGCCUCUCCAAAUGUCAUCUUUAUUGAUCCGUCAACAUUAGAAAAAAAGCAAAUUGUAGCAGAGUAUAACAUCGACGAACUUGGUACCACGACACCCCAUCAUAGAAGAAAAGCUCUGCCACGCUUUCAAAUACCAAGUCUCAUUACUUUAACUAGCCCACAUCUUGCCAUUCUUAGUCCGGCUGUCUUUUUACCAGCCGAAAAUAAAAUACUAAAUCCCUUGAUUACACAAUAUGUAAACCUCCUUUCAAUUCAUCCACUGCGCCGACACAUGUGCAAACAUCCUAGCAUCACAACAACACUGCGGAAUAAUCUCUCAUAAGCGUCAUGGCAACCUCUGCCUAGCUUAAGGCUCUUAGAAGUCCUAUUGCUGAUCUAAAGAAUAGAAUAUCCUUCCAUAAAGCGACUUCAAUAGUCCAGUCAACUAUACCGGGAAAAUCAUCCUACACCAUAUUUAUAGUGCCUUUUCAAUUCUGCAAAUUCUCGGUUUCUAACAAGCUCUCGCGUCGAGUAAGAUUGAGUAGGAAGGAAUCAAAGGAAUAAGCCUCAAAGGAAUCGAAUCGCACGAUAAGAAAAUCAAGAAGGAAAGUACUCCUAACAGCCCUGUAGCCUCCCGAGGUUAAGUACAGACGUCUCCGUACCGAUCCGCGAGACUCCACUAGACUUGCUCACGACUCGUGAGACCGACGGAAACAAAGUGCUCUGAUACCAUGUUGUCACGAUCAAAAAUCCACUAAGGGUCGUGGUGGCGCCGGACACGGUCAGGCCAGCCAACUCAAAUGCUAAAUUAAAUCUCGUUUUAUCAUUUUUAAAAUACAGAAUUUUUCCUUAAAUUAUUUAGAGAUAUUAAAGGAUAUAUUUUCAAAUCAAUUUAAAAGUUAACACAAUUAAUACAAUACUUCAAACCAUCCCAGAACCUAGAGUCACAAGUGCAUGAGCAUCUACUGACAAGAGAAAUAAUAUACAACAUUCAUUCGGAAUACAAUGGACGAAAAUUAAAUACAAUACAAAGGAAGGGACUACUCUAGCUGCGGCCGUCUCGAAUGAUGCAACUCACCUAGUCCCAGAAUCAUCCGAAUUGCUAUGCCUAGCCGACCGCAGGGUCACAUAUACCUGUUCAACAAAAUGCACACCAAGUGUACUGUGAGUACAAAAGCAAUGUGUACCCAAUGAGUGUCCCGCCUAAUCCCGAAGGGGUAGAGAUGAGAUGGUCAACUUUGACACUCACUAGUAGUCAAAUAAUUAUUUAUCCUUAAUAAAUAUAUUAAAAAAUAAAUUUGAUUUAUAAAUAUGAUUCUAAUCCAGAUAGAGGAAGCAAGAAAACAGAUAAUUCUUUCAUGAAAAAUUUCAUUAGAUAUCUUGUUAUUAUUAACAAUAUGAUCUCGAGCCAUAGCGAGGCAUAAAACAACUCAAAUGAGUCCAUGAAGCAAUACAAGCAUGCGCAAAUUAUAUCGAGGUUGAAGGUCCGCUCCAACAGAAAUAAAUGUGCACUUGUCGAGUCGACAGCGCGCCUAUAGAUGCAUCUAUUAAUCUGCCGAGGCGUUUGGCCCGUUCCAAAAUAAACACACAGACAGACAAUUAGUCGAGAAGUCAACAUGGAGCAAAUAUCCAAGAAAGGUCAAUUCCCUUUAAUAAUUUGAGAAAACAAAGCUUAAGUCUUUUUUAGAAAUCCAUUUAUUAAUUUAAUGUGAUUCAAGCAAUUCAACCCAUCAAUGAGUCCACAAUUUAUCCAAGUAUAACAUUAUUUUGUGUUCUAGACUAUCCGGACUAUAGCAUAAUAGCAGCUACACACGAACUCUCGUCACCUCGUGCGUACGUAGCCCCUCACAAUUAGGAGCAUAUAAUCAAUUUAACUCACAUAUGGGGUACAUUCCCCCUCACAAGAUUAGAAACGAGACUCACCUUGCUUUGAAGCGCUCUUUCAAUAAUAAGAAUAGGCUCGAAUCUCAAUUCGAAGCCGAACGAGCACCAACUAGUUAAAUAAAGCAAGAACUAGUCAAUAAGUGCUCACAAAGUUGAAUUUUAACUAACUCAAGUGAUUUCCCAACUUUUCCCGCAAGUUCCUAAAUUCCGGCCUCGGGCCCACGUGCCCGGAUUCCGAGAUUUUUCGAAGGAAAUUAUCCUCUGUAGCCAAAGAAUUACUAAUAUGUAACUUUUAGUUCAUUACAUAGCUAAUUAGGUGGUUAAAUUUUAAUUUUUUAUGAAAACCCGAGGUCUAGCUCCAACCUUUGAUUUUAUUUGAUUAUUAGUGUUAAAUCUAUCUAAUGUUCGUGUAUUUAAACUAAGAAUGAGUGGGGAUUAUUUACUUUGUGAUGUUAUAUUGAAACUCCCUCCUUGGAACCACCAAAAUUGCCCAAGAAUUGAAUGAGAAAUGAGAGAAAUGGCUUUGGGUUCGAAUUAAAUGAACCCUUGUGCCCAGCUGUUUCCGCUUCUGCGGUCCCGCAUCGGCGGAAAAGAAACCGCUUCUGCGGAAAUUGGGAAGGCUGGGUCGGACCGCUUCUGCGAUCUAGGGGUCGCAGAGGCGGAACCGUUUCUGCGAUUUCUGGGCCGCUUUUGCGGUUUCCCAGUCUUGUCCCCUUCUUCGCUUCUGCGGAUAGGCGACCGCUCUUAUGGUCUUGCUUCUGCAGUUCAAGCAUAGUAGAAGCGGUUAUGAUAGAAGCAGCAGGUUUGGUUCUUUUUAAAGUUCAAACUUCACUAGAGCCUCGACAAAUGUACGCUUGGGGCUCCCGAGUCCCGCCCGAACAUACCGACAAGUAUGAAAUCAUGAGGCGGACCUAGUCGAACCCUCGAAACAUCUAAAACAAUGCAAAAACCGUGAAUUACACCCCGAUUCAAGAUUUAUGAAUUUUGAACUUUCCAUCUUCUACUUCUGAUGUUUAAACCUAUCAUAUCAUGUCUGAUUCACCUCAAAUGUUGCACACAAGUCAUAUUUGACAUUACGAACCUACUCCAACUUUCGGAAUCAGAUUCCGACCUCAAUAUCAAAAAGUCCACUUCCGGUCAAACUUCCCAAAAACCUUCAAAUUUCUAUCUUUAGCCAAAUGAGUCCAAAAUAACCCGCGGACCUUCGAAUUCACUUCUGAUCGUGCUCCCAAUACUAGAAUCACCAUACGAAAAAUCCCAGACUCAGAAUCCCAAACGGAUAUUCAAAACGACCUACAGACCUCCGAAUUUACUUCCGACCGCGCUCCCAACUCCAGAGUCACCAUAUGGAGAUACUCCCACUCUCGGAAUCCCAAACAGACAUCGAUAAUUCUGAAAUGCACUUCAAGCCAAACUUAAGAAAUUUCUUCCAAAAUGCUAACUUCCACAAUGGGCGCCAAUACGCUCCCGUUUUAUCCAAAACCCGCAUCGGGCAUAGGCACAAGUCCGAAAUCAUCAUACGAAUCUGAUGGAACCUUCAGGUCCCGAUUAUGAGGUCGUUUACUCAAAAAUCCAAUCCGAGUUCAUUCUUUCAACUUAAUGCUUCUCAAAUGGGAAUUUUCAUUUAAAUUUAACUCCGAUCUUUCUGAAUUUUAAUUCUGACCGUGCGUACAAGUCAUAUCACCUGAAAUAAAGCUGCUCAUGGCCUCAGACUACUGAACAACGCGCUAGAGCUCAAAACGGCCGGUCGGGUCAUUGCAUUUUAUUAUAAAUAGUAUUUGAAAAGAUAAUGUGUGUACAUUACACCGAUACAUUGGGUCCAUGUGCACCCAAAUACAAUGAAGUUAAUGUGUAAAUGCAGUUCACCAAAACAGUUAGCCACGAGCAGCUCACCUACUAGAGUUAAGUUGCUUUUUGAUUGUUUCUCUAAUCUUUUGAUCACUAAAUUUAUUAUUUCAAAAAAUAUCUAGGAUACAUGAAACUUGAAAAUUGAAAGAGGAAAAGGGAACACAAGUGGCCCGUCAAAUAUAAGGAAGAGGUUAUACUAUUUUGAAGAUUUUGAGAAGCGUUUUACUACUUACUGUCCAUAUGACAUUUAUGAACCAAUUCAGGAGGAAGCCCUUCACCAGGGCAUAGAAUCCUAUAUCAAAAACACGAAAGGAAAAAAGAGAGUAUAUUUACUAGUUAAGGUAGUAUAGCACACCAAAGAGCACGCAACUGCUGAAACUUUAAAACCACUACAACUCAAUUUUCUGAUCUGAGGCCAAAAUUAAACUCUAGAAAAAACAAAGUGCAACCUAGAAUACAGUAAAACACUGGCAGGGUGAAUAUGUUUCGGGGUCCAUUUUGGCCCAAGUCAACCCCAAGAAAGCUAAUAAAGUGAUACCUAGGAUGCUACAAAAACACAAACCCUACAGAAGUGUACUUGAUUGGGGAUAUAUUUUAUAUCUCUAAUGAAAAAUGUUUGACUAUUAAGUACCACACAAAAAACAUGAAAAAAUAUAUAAGAUUAAACUUCAAAAUCAAAAGAUUAAGGUUAUGCUUCUGCUAACUCCUAUAUUUGUGUUGAGAUAUAGUAUUUUAGUUAUAAAGGCCACCAACGUUGUUGUCUAUAAGUCAAUGAAAGGCAAUAGAAGAAGGCAGUAAUGAUACAAAUGAAUGAGAGGUGACGUAUGAAGAGAAAUAGACGGGUAAACUCUAUAGGUGGAGAAAAGGUGCAAGUCUAAAAUGCACCUUCCACUUAAGCUUGAAUGUUAUAGCCUUUACCCAUAAUAGGUUGUAGUACAUAGCACAUGUUAAAUUUUCAGCUCAGAUAUUUUCUACAAGUCUAAGCCAUUUGCAAUAAUCAAGGUUUCGGGUUCUCUGGACCAAGUCACCGUGAACUACAUACCUUAUAGAAAAAGAGUUACAAGAGUGUCUUUAAGAUUCUCUUUAAUUUUAUUAACUUAGAUCAAAAGUACCUAUGACAUGAAAUAACACGAACCAAAGAGGCUAUCCAAAAGAACUCACGAACCAAAGAGGCUAUCCUAAGAGUUCUCUUUCUACUCGCUAUUUGCCAGAUUCACAACAUCUUAAGAGUUGGUGACCCUUUAAUCUGUCAAAACCCAUAACAUCAAUAAAGCAGAACCAAACCAACACAAGAGCGAUGGAAGAAUAUAUGUUAGCGCUAGAUACUUGAAAUAAAUAGUGCUAGAUACUUGAAAUAUAUGUUAGCAAUAAAUAAUACUGAUAAAAGAACAAACAAAAAACAAAAUCUUUACACCACAUAUUCGAAUAUAUACUUGCAGGAAAAUUUCCAACAUUUUUUAGUAUGUGCGCAACCAAAGCUUACUCUGCAGAAUGUUGUAACUCAUUAGUGAUCAGAACAAAGUACAGAGAUAGAGUUAGAGUUGUAUCAAAUAAUUCCAAGUUUUUUAGAACUAAUUACUCCUUAGAUACCUAAUUAUGUUUUAAUCUUUCUCUUUUUAAUGCUUAAUAAGUACUACCAUAGGCCGAAGCACUUCCUAAGCACUAUCUAUUUCUAGUUAAAUUAACUCGGGCUGCAUAAUCAGAAGAGCUUGAAGGGAAAAAGGAUAACUAGAGAAACCAAUUUCAACAUACGAAACAAUAGAACAUCCUGGUUUACAUAUCUAAAAUUCGAAACGACCAGCAGUCAUUCUGAUUCUAGAUUUGACGAAUACACUUUACUGAGAGUACAUCUGAUCUAAGUAAAGAAAACCAAACAAAAAUUCACAAAUUACAUUAAAAAAAUCAGCUUUUUCACAAACAAUGAAUUUACUCCACAAUGCCAAAUCAGCCAUCACUUAUUAACACACACACACGACAUAAAUCAUAAAACCCCGCAUACUCUAACAACAGAUAUUUAUUUCAUAAAUAAAAAAGAAAAAACUUACACUUUUUCAACAAUAUUAGAUGUCAAGCUAAAUAUAUCAACAACUACUCAGGUUAUAAAGUGUUAACUGAGAACUUACUCACCUAUUUUUGGACAGGAGAUAUGAAGUAUAUCACUUUGAAUGAUGGUCGAAAAUUUUGCCUUGACUAGCAUAACACAACAGUGCUGGAUCCUAAAAACUAUAUAAAAUUAAGAGAACAACAUUAAUUUUUAAACCUAGGUUUUAAACAGUAUAAAAUCCCUAAAAUUCGAAGUCUUCUGGGGGAAAUCAAUAAGAAAAAAGGAGAUCGGGUAAGAGAGAGCGAACGAGAGGGGGAGAGAUAGAGAGAGAUCGACUUACGUGGAAUUGAAUCAGAACUCGUCUCUGCGGCGUGGAGUGAGAGAGACGGGGGAAAGACUUGAGAGAAAAAUUGUAAAACGUUAAAAAUAUAAAGUUUCCCACAAACUGGUUGUAUGACAUUAAGGUCUUUCAAAACUAAAAAAAAUUAUUGCAUUUUAUAUAUUUCUCCUGGGAAAGUUUUGUGGGAAAGCUUUUUGGUAAUUAUAAAAAAA